UAUUAUUCGGCGAUGAAGAGAGUACAUAUGUUUUAUCCUCCAAGCGAGCUAGGGAUGGUGUGAGCCUAGCAGAGAGAAACAUAUGGAAGCGCACUUCGGAGAAAUUACUUUGAAAAUGAUAGUAGGAGUAAUCGGGUGACGGCGUUAUACGUUAUAAAGCUGGUUUAUGAAUAAACCAAUGAGAGUGGUACCGCGGGUAAACUCGUCUCUUGC
rnacentral:ncRNA from 1 species